GAUGAACGCUGGCGGCGUGCCUAAUACAUGCAAGUCGAGCGAACGGACGAGAAGCUUGCUUCUCUGAUGUUAGCGGCGGACGGGUGAGUAACACGUGGAUAACCUACCUAUAAGACUGGGAUAACUUCGGGAAACCGGAGCUAAUACCGGAUAAUAUUUUGAACCGCAUGGUUCAAAAGUGAAAGACGGUCUUGCUGUCACUUAUAGAUGGAUCCGCGCUGCAUUAGCUAGUUGGUAAGGUAACGGCUUACCAAGGCAACGAUGCAUAGCCGACCUGAGAGGGUGAUCGGCCACACUGGAACUGAGACACGGUCCAGACUCCUACGGGAGGCAGCAGUAGGGAAUCUUCCGCAAUGGGCGAAAGCCCGACGGAGCAACGCCGCGUGAGUGAUGAAGGUCUUCGGAUCGUAAAACUCUGUUAUUAGGGAAGAACAUAUGUGUAAGUAACUGUGCACAUCUUGACGGUACCUAAUCAGAAAGCCACGGCUAACUACGUGCCAGCAGCCGCGGUAAUACGUAGGUGGCAAGCGUUAUCCGGAAUUAUUGGGCGUAAAGCGCGCGUAGGCGGUUUUUUAAGUCUGAUGUGAAAGCCCACGGCUCAACCGUGGAGGGUCAUUGGAAACUGGAAAACUUGAGUGCAGAAGAGGAAAGUGGAAUUCCAUGUGUAGCGGUGAAAUGCGCAGAGAUAUGGAGGAACACCAGUGGCGAAGGCGACUUUCUGGUCUGUAACUGACGCUGAUGUGCGAAAGCGUGGGGAUCAAACAGGAUUAGAUACCCUGGUAGUCCACGCCGUAAACGAUGAGUGCUAAGUGUUAGGGGGUUUCCGCCCCUUAGUGCUGCAGCUAACGCAUUAAGCACUCCGCCUGGGGAGUACGACCGCAAGGUUGAAACUCAAAGGAAUUGACGGGGACCCGCACAAGCGGUGGAGUAUGUGGUUUAAUUCGAAGCAACGCGAAGAACCUUACCAAAUCUUGACAUCCUUUGACAACUCUAGAGAUAGAGCCUUCCCCUUCGGGGGACAAAGUGACAGGUGGUGCAUGGUUGUCGUCAGCUCGUGUCGUGAGAUGUUGGGUUAAGUCCCGCAACGAGCGCAACCCUUAAGCUUAGUUGCCAUCAUUAAGUUGGGCACUCUAAGUUGACUGCCGGUGACAAACCGGAGGAAGGUGGGGAUGACGUCAAAUCAUCAUGCCCCUUAUGAUUUGGGCUACACACGUGCUACAAUGGACAAUACAAAGGGCAGCGAAACCGCGAGGUCAAGCAAAUCCCAUAAAGUUGUUCUCAGUUCGGAUUGUAGUCUGCAACUCGACUACAUGAAGCUGGAAUCGCUAGUAAUCGUAGAUCAGCAUGCUACGGUGAAUACGUUCCCGGGUCU
rnacentral:rRNA from 1 species